rnacentral:tRNA from 2 species
GCAUGGGUGGUUCAGUGGUAGAAUUCUCGCCUGCCACGCGGGAGACCCGGGUUCGAUUCCUGGCCCAUGCA